UUUGAGAGGAAGAAACGCAGGCAGGGAGCACUUCCUGGAAUCUGAAGAAGCAGCCAUGGGAGAAGAGAAACAAGGAGGAGAGGAAGGAGGGGAGAAGGAAGCGAGAGGGGCUACUGAUCUCUUUGGACAAGGAGACUAUCAGCUGCAUUCUCUGGUCUCAGUGUAUUACACAUAUGCACCAUGUUGGGUGCUCCUCCAGAAGCAUCUCUGUGUUGUGCUGCAAAUAUCAAGACAUCACAGUCGGGACCCGGCCUGGGAAGCCAGUCACCUCUGUCCAGACAUCAAAUGGGACUCCUGUGCGUCUCCAACUCAGACACAGACCUUGGAGGCUCCACUGGGACUUGGUAAGGUCUUCAAUAAAGUACAAGCCUAGGCAAAACUCAAAGGGGUCUCUGCCUGGUGGCGGGCCUCUGGAAGGUAUUUUGGCUCUUUGUCUCCAAACUGUCAGUGCCCAUCAGCCAAAGACCACCAGGGCACUCUGUGCCUGGACAAGUCAGGUUUAUUGCUCACUGCAGCGAGGGCAAAUGCACACCAUGGAGAAGUGCUGGGAAGGACUUAUUAUAGGAUUUGGGCCAGGCUAGGUGAUCUGGGGAAGGGUUUAAGGAAGCCAGGCUUUGCUCUGGACUGGAUGCUGUCAGGAAGCAGGGAUAAUUUGACGACUAAGUGUCUCAUUAAAUAAAUGGUAUCGAGUAGGAGGGCAGACUAGAAUGAGGCUCCAUCUGUAAUUGGCCAGGAAGCUGCAGUCACUUGGAUUAGCCACAAUGGGGGGUGGGGUUUGCUCAUCUCUGUGGUUUGGGCACUGUUUGUAUUUUUGCCUGUGUUCACACGUGAUUAUGGAGUGGUCUUGUUUUUGACUCUAUCCACCAUGGUCAGGAUGGCCUUGUAUGAGGCUAAUGUGUUGUGAAUCUGUUUCUGUUCAACGCAACACCCAAGCCUAGUGGGGAGUACUAAGCCAGUUUUUAGCAACACCAAGGCCUUGCUGACAGUCCCAGCCAGCUUCCAGAUGUCAGGGGCUAUGUUUCUCUUUCUCAAAAUGUUCAUUUUGAGAUGAUCCCUGUUUUCCAACCAGGGCUUGGCAGUCCAGUAUUUAAAUACUCAGACCCUCCCUGUACUCUGACCCAGUCACACCCAUCUGUAGAACCAGCCAGGCAGGGGAACGUCAUCACUGGCCUGAGCUGUGUGUCUCUGUGUGUGGUUUUGUGUACGUGUGUCUGUGCCACCAGAAAUUCCCUGAUAAGAUGGGAAAGAGGCCAGAAGCAGUCGUCUUUCACCUCCAGGCCCAGCAGGACUUUCCCUCUGACCAGAGAGCAAGGCACUGGGAUCGAGUCCCAACAACUGCUAGGGCAGCAAGGGUGGCCGGCUUUAGGUGGAGUCAGGGAAGGACAGAGGGGAUACUGUGGCAGCCAAGCUUGAGAGGAGUGGGAAAGGGAAGGGGUAGUGGUGGAAGGGAGGGGAGGGUUCUUUUGUACUAACGGGUCUCUAGAGAAGCUGCUGGUUUUCCUUCAAGGAAGCAGCCUGCAGUAGGUCACUGUGGGUUCCCCACCCCCAUCCCUUUCUGCUUUAAGCCUCUUGUCUCCAAAACAGGCUCUGUUGAUUAGAACAACAAAGUCACAUAUGUUGACCUCAUCCUCCACUAAGAGGCUUAUUCUGACCCCUUUCCAAUCAAACACACUUCCUUUCCUCAGGUCUAUCUCUCUAGCCAAAGUAUGAGGACAUCUCUUGCCGUGCCUUACCAAUGGCCAGAGGCCAGUACCAUCAUGACAUGGUACCGAGGUGCCAUCAGGUAUCGGUUGUAAAAUGGCAAAGAAAAGCGAGGUUGAAGUCAAAUGGGUGGGCUCCAAAUGCUGGAUAUUUUGGCAGAGCCCCAGCUUUGCAGGGCGUUACUAGCCCUGCACUGUGCUGUGGCCCAAUCACAGGCCAGCUAUCGAGGGCCAAAGCUCAGCUGGCACUGCUCAUCUGAACAGUUAGAAAUUGUUCCUUGUGAUCCUUGGGGACCCAGACAGAUUAAAUGCAUCCUGGGUUAAGUGGCAAGUUGCAGCAGUGAGGGAAGUGAUGGGGGUCUGAUAACCUGGAUAAGAGAGAACAGAGGCUGCAAGGCAGAGACUCAUUUCUACAGUAAGCAUCGCCCCACCAAGCAACCAUGGACUUGGUCAGCACUUUGCUAGGGUUUUGAGGGGAGGGGCACGUUGCCCCAUCCUGAGGAAAAAAGCCUCUGAUCUGGGAGAGCUUACAAUUAAUUUAGGGAGCAAACACUAAUAAUGCAGAGAAUUACUUAAAGAACAAUCAAGUUCAAAGGCAGUAAGUGUAAUUGGAGUUCAGAGGUGAAAUCAUGCACAGGCACUAGUCCAACUGGUAACACGUCACCACAGUGGGAUUUCAUUCGGGCCUUGAAAGAUGAGCAGGAUUUGGAUCUGUAGAAGGGAAUAGCGAUGGUGUUCCAGAUGUGAAGAGCACAAACAAGUUUAUAGGUGACAAUAAACCACACGUGUAUGUGCAGAUGCACACAUGCACGUGACAUCACAGGAAAGGAGGCCCACAGGGCACAGGGGGUUGAGGUCAGGAACACUAUGGAAGGCUUUGGACUUGAUGUGGCUGUUGAUAGCGAGUCCAUGUACAUUCUUCAACAGGGGGUGAGGUGGGGGGACAUGGACCGAGUGAUGCUUUCAGAAGUGGUCAACUAAGGAUGGGCGCGCUGGUUAAUCUCCAUUCUUGGUGUAUCCGCAGUGCUUUGUGUGUCUUCCUAUGGACAUAUCCGACUGUAUUAUACUUCUGCGCUCACAUGUCUGCUUUCCUCACUGGCACCAGGAGCUCCUUAGAAGAAGUGGCCAUGUUUUCUCCAUCUUCCUAUUCUGCCAUCUACCUGGCUCAUAGUAAGCACUCAAUGAAUACUGAUUAGAUGAAGAGAUCAUUUCAUUUUAAUUCACUGAAUUAUUAACAACAUUCCAUAAAGAAUGACAGCCGUCAAAGAAUUAGACUAAAUUGCACAUAACAAGGCGAGUCAUAAUUUGAUCUUUUUAAAAAUUUGUGAAACGCUUCAGGAUCUUGUGGUGUAUUACUGUAUAAGUCCCAUUUCACAUGCUACUAGAUGAGCUUUCUACCUACAGAUUGAGAUAUGCCAGGCAUCAGAUCCUAUUUCACUAAACCUGUAUACAUUUAGUAAGAACCUGUUCUGGUGCAGCUAGUUCUUAAAGUGGACAUCUGUCCUGUUCUAGUGUUCAGAAGAGAUUUCAUUGUAGCUGCAACUCCCUUUAAACAAACUCAAGAUUGAAAACAAAAUCCAGCCUGGUAAUAAUUUUCUCUUUACAAAAAGAUUCAUAAUGGACACUUGAAAGUAGGAAAAAUUUCCUCUUAAUUGAAGUAAGAUUUGAUUUUUAAAAGUUAAGUAAUCAGAAAUUCAAAAAGUGAGUUGAUUUAUGAAACUGCCUUCUAUUCCCAGGAAAUCAUCUAUAAAGUGAGGCAUGCCUAUAAGCCUAUUUGAGAUGAAAGGGGUUAGGAGAGGACAGAUUUCUAAUCUGGGGACAGUGGGCAAAGGAGUUGAGAGACAGACCAUGAUCUCUCAAAGAGUCAGGCUCCAGGUUUAGCCAUGAAGCACCAGGUCUUUGAUCCUUUGUUUCUGUUUGCAAUAAAUGUCUUUUCUGCCCUCCCCUCCCACGACCAACCAGUUUGGGGCCAGAGGGUACAUACAGGAGUUGUUCCAGGUAGAGCAGAGUCUAGUCCACAGGUUUAUGUGUUCACUCAUUCAACAAAUUACUAAGUACCUACUAUGAGCCAGACCCUGUGCUAAGCUCUGGAGAGCGAAUCAUAAGCAAGACAGUAAAGCCAGAGUUCUGGCUUCCAGGAAGCUGCAGAGCAGCAGGGAGACACAGAAACAAGGAACAGGCUUGGAAAGGUCGGGAAAGUCUUCAUAGACCUUCCCCAGAGGAGGGGAGAGGCAUCAAGUGCUAUGGGCAAGGGCCACAGGAGGCCAAUACAGAAAGGUCUGGAGGGGCGAGGGAGAAGUUCAGGGAACCAAAAAAAAGUUUCGAGUGAAGCAGGGAAAGCAAGGCUGAGGAAGAUCAUGCACUUGGUAGGAGCUCCGACUGGCUUGCUCUCUAAUAUGCAGAGCUUUCCUCCCUUCACCCACUUGCUCCCUUUCAAAGAGAACAGAAAUUAAUUUAGAAGAAGCACGUUUUAUUUAGUGAUGUGAACGUUAAGAAUUUGCCUACAUGGUUGAAAUAUUCACAAAGGACUUGAUCAUUCACACUCAUACAUCCAGAGGAUGUCUGCUGAAUAAAAAAUGCUCCUUUACCCAUCCAAGUUGCUGUCAGGGACAGUGAAGUGCCUGCCUAUUCCACGGGGGCCUCAGUCUUCAUGAAUGUUGAAGAGUUUGGCUACUUCGUUGAGAUCUUCAUGUUGCUCACCAUCCUUAAUGAUCUAAGGGAGAUGGUAACAAUCAGUAUAACUCACUCCGUGUGCAUUUGGGCCACACUUUAUGACAGGGCAGCCUGGGCCAGUCCCCACUUCACACUGGGAGGGACGUGUGGGAACGGCUUUCUACCCAGCCCAAGUGAGCAUGUGCCAACGGCCAGGCCACCCAGCCAAGUCCGGAGUAGAAAAGAAACAGUCCUGAGCCAAGGCUAGACCUUUGUUCUGCUCGGGCACAGUCUGACCUGGGUGGACAAUGCAUGGCAGGGCACCCGAUGAAGUCACAGGAGGGUUUCCGGCCCACACUUCCCAUCUCCUUCUUAGAGCUCUGCCAGGCACCUACCUUCCUUGCUAUCGGCAUUCGGUUGAAGAUGUUCCACAGCACGAUCCCCACCACCACUUUGUCCCUGAGGUAGAAGAUGACACCUUUGCCGUAGUCCUCCCCUUGAGUGGGGGCCUGGGGAACUGCAGGGUUGCUGGGAGGAAGAGUGAUUUCUGAGGCCUCGGACUCUGUCUCACUCUCUGAUCGGAUACCAGUCCCUGUGGCCAACCCCC